rnacentral:rRNA from 1 species
GAUGAACGCUGGCGGCGUGCCUAAUACAUGCAAGUCGAGCGAACGGACGAGAAGCUUGCUUCUCUGAUGUUAGCGGCGGACGGGUGGGUAACACGCGGAUAACCUACCUAUAAGACUGGGAUAACUUCGGGAAACCGGAGCUAAUACCGGAUAAUAUUUUGAACCGCAUGGUUCAAAAGUGAAAGACGGUCUUGCUGUCACUUAUAGAUGGAUCCGCGCUGCAUUAGUUAGUUGGUAAGGUAACGGCUUACCAAGGCAACGAUGCAUAGCCGACCUGAGAGGGUGAUCGGCCACACUGGAACUGAGACACGGUCCAGACUCCUACGGGAGGCAGCAGUAGGGAAUCUUCCGCAAUGGGCGAAAGCCUGACGGAGCAACGCCGCGUGAGUGAUGAAGGUCUUCGGAUCGUAAAACUCUGUUAUUAGGGAAGAACAUAUGUGUAAGUAACUGUGCACAUCUUGACGGUACCUAAUCAGAAAGCCACGGCUAACUACGUGCCAGCAGCCGCGGUAAUACGUAGGUGGCAAGCGUUAUCCGGAAUUAUUGGGCGUAAAGCGCGCGUAGGCGGUUUUUUAAGUCUGAUGUGAAAGCCCACGGCUCAACCGUGGAGGGUCAUUGGAAACUGGAAAACUUGAGUGCAGAAGAGGAAAGUGGAAUUCCAUGUGUAGCGGUGAAAUGCGCAGAGAUAUGGAGGAACACCAGUGGCGAAGGCGACUUUCUGGUCUGUAACUGACGCUGAUGUGCGAAAGCGUGGGGAUCAAACAGGAUUAGAUACCCUGGUAGUCCACGCCGUAAACGAUGAGUGCUAAGUGUUAGGGGGUUUCCGCCCCUUAGUGCUGCAGCUAACGCAUUAAGCACUCCGCCUGGGGAGUACGACCGCAAGGUUGAAACUCAAAGGAAUUGACGGGGACCCGCACAAGCGGUGGAGCAUGUGGUUUAAUUCGAAGCAACGCGAAGAACCUUACCAAAUCUUGACAUCCUUUGACAACUCUAGAGAUAGAGCCUUCCCCUUCGGGGGACAAAGUGACAGGUGGCGCAUGGUUGUCGUCAGCUCGUGUCGUGAGAUGUUGGGUUAAGUCCCGCAACGAGCGCAGCCCUUAAGCUUAGUUGCCAUCAUUAAGUUGGGCACUCUAAGUUGACUGCCGGUGACAAACCGGAGGAAGGUGGGGAUGACGUCAAAUCAUCAUGCCCCUUAUGAUUUGGGCUACGCACGUGCUACAAUGGACAAUACAAAGGGCAGCGAAACCGCGAGGUCAAGCAAAUCCCAUAAAGUUGUUCUCAGUUCGGAUUGUAGUCUGCAACUCGACUACAUGAAGCUGGAAUCGCUAGUAAUCGUAGAUCAGCAUGCUACGGUGAAUACGUUCCCGGGUCU